AGUGAGGAAUAUUGCACAAUGGAGGAAACUCUGAUGCAGCAACGCCGCGUGGAGGAUGACGCAUUUCGGUGUGUAAACUCCUUUUAUAUGUCAAGAAAAUGACGGUAGCAUAUGAAUAAGCACCGGCUAACUCCGUGCCAGCAGCCGCGGUAAUACGGAGGGUGCAAGCGUUACUCGGAAUCACUGGGCGUAAAGGACGCGUAGGCGGGAUGCCAAGUCUGAUGUGAAAUCCUAUGGCUCAACCAUAGAACUGCAUUGGAAACUGGUAACCUAGAGUAUGGGAGGGGGAGAUGGAAUUAGUGGUGUAGGGGUAAAAUCCGUAGAUAUCACUAGGAAUACCUAAAGCGAAGGCGAUCUCCUGGAACAAUACUGACGCUAAGGCGUGAAAGCGUGGGGAGCAAACGGGAUUAGAUACCCCGGUAGUCCACGCCCUAAACGAUGUUCACUAGUCGUCGGGAUGCUUGUCAUCUCGGUGAUGCACUUAACAGAUUAAGUGAACCGCCUGGGGAGUACGGUCGCAAGAUUAAAACUCAAAGGAAUAGACGGGGACCCGCACAAGUGGUGGAGCAUGUGGUUUAAUUCGAAGAUACGCGAAGAACCUUACCUAGCCUUGACAUUGAUUGAACGGACCAGAGAUGGACCGGUGCCCUUCGGGGAACAUGAAAACAGGUGCUGCACGGCUGUCGUCAGCUCGUGUCGUGAGAUGUUGGGUUAAGUCCCGCAACGAGCGCAACCCUCGUCUUUAGUUGCCAGCAGGUUAAGCUGGGCACUCUAAAGAGACUGCCUUCGCAAGGAGGAGGAAGGUGAGGACGACGUCAAGUCAUCAUGGCCCUUACGGCUAGGGCUACACACGUGCUACAAUGGGGCGUACAGAGUGUUGCGAUACCGCGAGGUGGAGCCAAUCACUUAAAGCGUCUCUCAGUUCGGAUUGGAGUCUGCAACUCGACUCCAUGAAGCUGGAAUCACUAGUAAUCGUAGAUCAGCAAUGCUACGGUGAAUACGU
rnacentral:rRNA from 1 species